UGAAAUCUGGUCCCCAGGGCCCGAGUUGUAAUUUGCAGAGGAUGCUUUUGGUGAGGUGCCUUCCGAGUUCCCUGGAACGGGACGCCAUAGAGGGUGAGAGCCCCGUCUGGUUGGAUACCGAGCCUCUGUAAAGCUCCUUCGACGAGUCGAGUAGUUUGGGAAUGCUGCUCUAAAUGGGAGGUAUAUGUCUUCUAAAGCUAAAUAUUGGCCAGAGACCGAUAGCGCACAAGUAGAGUGAUCGAAAGAUGAAAAGCACUUUGAAAAGAGGGUUAAAUAGUACGUGAAAUUGUUGAAAGGGAAGCACUUAUGACCAGACUUGGCCCCGGUGAAUCAUCCAGCGGUUCCCGCUGGUGCACUUUGCCGGGGUUCAGGCCAGCAUCAGUUCGCUCCGGGGGAUAAAGGCUUUGGGAAUGUGGCUCCCUCGGGAGUGUUAUAGCCCAUUGCGUAAUACCUUGUGGCGGGCUGAGGUUCGCGCUUUAUGCAAGGAUGCUGGCAUAAUGGUCAUCAGUGACCCGUCUUGAAACACGGACCAAGGAGUCGUCUUCGUAUGCGAGUGUUCGGGUGUUAAACCCCUACGCGUAAUGAAAGUGAACGCAGGUGAGAGCCUCCAGGGCGCAUCAUCGACCGAUCCUGAUGUUCUCGGAUGGAUUUGAGUAAGAGCAUACGGGGCCGGACCCGAAAGAAGGUGAACUAUGCCUGUAUAGGGUGAAGCCAGAGGAAACUCUGGUGGAGGCUCGCAGCGGUUCUGACGUGCAAAUCGAUCGUCAAAUAUGGGCAUGGGGGCGAAAGACUAAUCGAACC
rnacentral:rRNA from 1 species